rnacentral:rRNA from 1 species
CCUACGGGAGGCAGCAGUGGGGAAUUUUGGACAAUGGGCGCAAGCCUGAUCCAGCAAUGCCGCGUGCAGGAUGAAGGCCUUCGGGUUGUAAACUGCUUUUGUACGGAACGAAACGGUGAGCUCUAAUACAGUUUGCUAAUGACGGUACCGUAAGAAUAAGCACCGGCUAACUACGUGCCAGCAGCCGCGGUAAUACGUAGGGUGCGAGCGUUAAUCGGAAUUACUGGGCGUAAAGCGUGCGCAGGCGGUGAUGUAAGACAGAUGUGAAAUCCCCGGGCUCAACCUGGGACCUGCAUUUGUGACUGCAUCGCUAGAGUACGGUAGAGGGGGAUGGAAUUCCGCGUGUAGCAGUGAAAUGCGUAGAUAUGCGGAGGAACACCGAUGGCGAAGGCAAUCCCCUGGACCUGUACUGACGCUCAUGCACGAAAGCGUGGGGAGCAAACAGGAUUAGAUACCCUGGUAGUCCACGCCCUAAACGAUGUCAACUGGUUGUUGGGUCUUCACUGACUCAGUAACGAAGCUAACGCGUGAAGUUGACCGCCUGGGGGAGACGCGCGAGUAGAACGACAANAGAGUAGACGGACGUGAGACGNGCGACGGACGACGACGAGGGGAGGAGG